AACGAACGCUGGCGGCAGGCUUAACACAUGCAAGUCGAACGCACCGCAAGGUGAGUGGCAGACGGGUGAGUAACACGUGGGGAUCUGCCCAAUGGUACGGAAUAGCUCCGGGAAACUGGAAUUAAUACCGUAUGAGCCCGCAAGGGGAAAGAUUUAUCGCCAUUGGAUGAACCCGCGUCGGAUUAGCUAGUUGGUGUGGUAAGGCGCACCAAGGCGACGACCCGUAGCUGGUCUGAGAGGAUGAUCAGCCACACUGGGACUGAGACACGGCCCAGACUCCUACGGGAGGCAGCAGUGGGGAAUAUUGGACAAUGGGCGCAAGCCUGAUCCAGCCAUGCCGCGUGAGUGAUGAAGGCCUUAGGGUUGUAAAGCUCUUUCGCCGACGAAGAUAAUGACGGUAGUCGGAGAAGAAGCCCCGGCUAACUUCGUGCCAGCCGCCGCCGUAAGAC
rnacentral:rRNA from 1 species